UACGUAGGGCGCAAGCGUUGUCCGGAAUUAUUGGGCGUAAAGAGCUCGUAGGUGGCUUGUCACGUCGGGUGUGAAAGCUUGGGGCUUAACUCCAGGUCUGCAUUCGAUACGGGCUGGCUAGAGGUAGGUAGGGGAGAACGGAAUUCCUGGUGUAGCGGUGAAAUGCGCAGAUAUCAGGAGGAACACCGGUGGCGAAGGCGGUUCUCUGGGCCUUACCUGACGCUGAGGAGCGAAAGCGUAGGGAGCGAACGGG
rnacentral:rRNA from 1 species